rnacentral:tRNA from 8 species
GGUCCCAUAGCUCAGUUGGUUAGAGCACCUGACUCAUAAUCAGGGAGUCCUUGGUUCAAGCCCAAGUGGGACCAC